GAUAAACGCUGGCGGCGUGCAUAACACAUGCAAGUCGAACGAUGAAGAUUAAAAGAUUUCUUCGGAAUGAACUUAAUUGGAUUAGUGGCGGACGGGUGAGUAACGCGUGAGUAACCUGCCUUGUACAAGGGGAUAGCCGUUGGAAACGACGAAUAAUACCCUAUGACAUCAAAUAAUCGCAUGAUAAUUUGAUCAAAGAUUUAUCGGUAUAAGAUGGACUCGCGUCUGAUUAGCUAGUUGGGAGAGUAAAAGCCUACCAAGGCAACGAUCAGUAGCCGGCCUGAGCGGAGGACCGGCCACAUUGGAACUGAGCCACGGGCGACACUCCUACGGGAGGCAGCAGUGGGGACUAUUGUCGGAUGGGCGAAAGCCUGAUGCAGCCAAGCGCCGUGAGUGAAGAAGGUCUUCGGAUCGUAAAACACUUUAAGUUGGGAAGAAGGUAAGUAACUUCAUACCUGCCGGUCUUGACGGUACCUAAUGAAUAAGCACCGGCUAACUUCGUG
rnacentral:rRNA from 1 species